GUUCCCUUAUUUAGUCUUUGCUCUAAUACACAGCUCAGGGGUUACUGGACUCCCUUGCAUUGUCCCAGCACUGGGAUUGACUGUGUGUUUAAUCCCCACUGACAACCAGGCACUGUGCCCUCAGUACAUUCUAACAAAUGCCCUGUGAGAGAAACCAACAUUUAGUCAUUUUGCAGAUGUGGAAACAGAGGCAGAAAUAAGAAGCUGUGCCCAAGGUCACCCAGAUACGAAAUGAGGAGAACUUAGAAAAAUUGCAUCGUGAUCGAAAGCUCUGACCUUGGCAAGUUUCUUAGCCCAUUUGUCUCCUUGCUUUCUGUAAAAUGGAGUAAUAAGAGUAUCUGCCCUAAAAGGAGGUGUAAGGAUUAUUAAUGCCUGUAAAGUGCUUGGAAGAAUGCCUGGCACAUAGUAUGAGCUUGAUAAAUGUCAGCCUUAAACACAACAAACGAGACCAAACUGCUUCUAAAGCUUGUAUCCUUUCUGCAACUCCCUGACGCCUCACAAGGAAUCAGGGAAUUGAAUUCAUACUUAGAAACUCGGAGCAAGAUUAAAGAUUGCAAGGUGUUGGAAAGUGUGGCCUAGUUAGAAAGCACACUCACUCACAUACACACACACAUAGCUACUUUUAAUAGCUGGUAAGAGCCAGAGAAAAUCCAAUUACAGAUGAGUCAAUCGAUUACAAAGAAAGAGGGCAGAAUAAAGGAAAGAAUGUUGGAGAGACACAGAACCAAAUUACAACCGGAUAAUAGAAUUAAGGGUCUGUCGAACAAACUGGGAGAAAUAACAAAGGGAUACAGGCUGGAGACGCUUUCACAGCUUUGUAAUGAUUUGAUUCUUUCUGAGCCCCUAGACUCCAAAGAGCGGUUAUAGGGCCAACGCCCCAAACAAGUGGGUGGAUCAGAAAGAGCCGGAAUUGUGUUUGGCAAGUCAUAUUUUGUGAAGAAAUGAACCACGUGUGGCCUGGGGAAGAAGAGGAUUGUGUUUGGGUUAAACAGAUGCUCCUAGUUAAGGGUGAGAGUCGCGGGCCAGAUACAAGGCGACUUUGAUUAGCAAAGGUAUAGCCUUGCUCCAAAAUAUUGUUUGCUAAGACAUUCUUCCUUCGUUUUAAAAGAAACAUCUCAUUGUUAAAUAGGAUUACUCUCUUGCAUAUACCUAAGCCAAAGCAAAACACAUGCUUUUAAUUUUAUUUUCCAUUUUGGGGGGACAGCAAGGUGGGGCUGUUAAUUUCAGCACCAACCUCUACAGCUGUGUCUAUUAUUGGUGGGCUCUAGAAUAACAUCCGUUUCUGUGUAUUUAUGGAAAGGCGUCCUUAACUAGGCCACAUAAAGAGCGAGCGCAUCUAUAAAUAAAUUAAGGAGGCUGCAAGGCGCGGUUGGCUGCCCCUCUGCUACGGCCUCGCAGGCCCUGCCACGCAGCUGUCGUCUUUGUGCCCGGCUUUGCGCACUCCAUUGUGGACGCGAUUACCCCGGCCUGGGGCGGCGCGUGCGGGGGCGGGGCGCACCUUCCCCGCCGGCGGCUGCAGAUUGGCUCCAGCGGCGAGGCUGGACUUCUUCGCGGCUCGGGCCGGCCUUGCUGGGCUGCGAGGUUCUGGCCUGUGACUUGGCCGGCGCAGGUGACCUGACGGCGGUCACUUCCUGGGAGCCAGCUGCACCCACCCGCGCUCAGGCUGAGUUGGGCUAACAGAUGGUGGCGUUGGGGGUGGGCGUUGGGUGGGGCAGGGGGAGGACAGUACAAGACGACAAGAAUAAGAAAAUGACUGAAUAGACAAGAUUAAACAGGUCAAAGCUGGGGUAGGGAGGAUAAGGAUGAGGGAAACUGCUUCCAAAGCUUGAGAGCCCAAUCCUUUCUUUCCGCCUUAGGAUGGGUGCCCCUCCUGGGCUCCUCCUCUGGGACAGGCAUGAAGGAUCUGAGUUCUACUUGCAGGUGGAGAUUAAAAAGAAUAAAGGCAGUCCUUUUCACUAGAGAAAUGGAGCAAAGAGCUUCUAUUUGCUUGGCAAUCAUUUCUGGGUUUUGUAGGAAUCUUGUCUUGAAAAAAGGAUCUCGUUGUGGUCCCUGGACCUGCUCCAACAGUAUCUCCAGUUCAAAAAGCAGACUCAGGGCCCGCAGAGCCACCGAGUCAGAACCUGCUGUUUUCUAGGAUCUCCUGGAGGUUCCUGGGUACACUCCAUUUGAAAAAGCUCUGGUCAACAGCACUGAUUCUUAACCCUUGCCGAAGUUAUGGGUUGAAUUGUGUUCUUCAAAAUGAUAUUGAGGUCCUAAUCCACAGAACCUGUGAAUGUGACCUUAUCUGAAAAUAGGGUCUUUACAACUGAUCAAGUUAAGAUGAGGCCGUUAGAAUGGAUGGACCCAAAUCCAACGUGACUGUGUUCAUAUAAAAAGAGGAAAUUGAGACACAGAGACAGACAUGAACACAAGGAGAAUCUAAUAUGAAGAUGAAGGCAGAGAUCAGGGUAAUGCAUCUUCAAGACAAGGAGAGCCAAAGACUGAUGGGAACCACCAGGUCCUAGGAGGGAGGCGUGGAACAGAUUUUCCCUUAUGGCCUUCAGAAGGAACCAACUCUAUCUACACUUUGGUCUCCCACUUCUAGCUUCCAGAACCAUAAGACAACGUAUUUCUGUUGUUUCAACCACCUUGUUUGUGAUACUUUGUUACAACAGCACUAGCAAACCAAUACACCUGGGUACUCCUAAGACUAACCCAGGUUUCUGAGCUCCGUCUGAAAUGUUUGCAAUCAGAAUACCCACGAGUGGGGCCAAUGGAACUGCAUUUUCUAAAUAUCCCCUGGGUGAUUCUAAGGUAGUUGGGAGAUUGGGAACUGGUGAGCCCAUCUCCCUUCCUUUACAGUGUGGUGGAGAAGGAAGAGAGAGCUGAGGCAGAUGAUGAAAGAUCUUCUCUUACUUCUUGCUGUGUGACCUUGGUGUGGUGGAGAAGGAAGAGAGAGCUGAGGCAGACGAUGUAAGAUCUGCUGUUACUUCUUGCUGUGUGACCUUGGGAAAGAUGAUUGUGAGUUGUUCUCUGGAGAGAUCCACAUGGCAAGAAAUUGAAGGAGGCCUUUGAUUGAAGAACUGAAUCUUGCCAACUACAUCAGUGAGCUUUUUGGCAUCCAUCAUCAAGACCACCUCAUGGUCAAAAAUGACUGCUUUGGCUAAAUCCAUCAUAUCCUCAUUCCAAGCCACAGAGGAUGAAGCAGGAACAACUGUGAGCACUGGAACUUUCUCAUGAGCCAGGUGAAGUGAAGUGGGUGUGCCUGGGAUCACACACAGCUGAGUCUUGCUCUGUCAUCCAGGCUGGAGUGCAAUGGUGUGAUCUCGGCUCACUGCAACCUUCAUCCACUGCAACCUUCGCCUCCCGGAUUCAAGCAAUUCUCCUGCCUCAGCCUCCUGAGUAGCUGGGAUUACAGGUGCCGGCCACCAUGCCCAGCUAAUUUUUUUAUCUUUAGUAGAGAUGGAGUUUCACCAUGUUGGUCAGGCUGGUCUCAAACUCCUGACCUCGUGAUCCCCCACCUUGGCCUCCCAAAGUGCUGGGAUUACAGGCGAGUUCAUUGUUUCUUUGUGCCACUGUGCCCGCUGAAAGAAAGUCUCAAGAACCACAGAUGUCUUGGAUAUUUCUGUAUUUCAGACUUUACUACCCAGACACCAAAAGAAGAAAUGAUUAACCCUGGAGGCUGCCUCGGUCUAGGUGAAAAAAUAUAUGUACGAUGACAGUGCGAUCAUACUAGAACUCAGGAUUAAGAAACUCACUCAAAACUGCUCAACUACAUGGAAACUGAACAACCUGCUCCUGAAUGACUACUGGGUACACAACGAAAUGAAGGCAGAAAUAAAGAUGUUCUUUGAAACCAACGAGAACAAAGACACAACACACCAGAAUCUCUGGGACACAUUCAAAGCAGUGUGUAGAGGGAAAUUUAUAGCAUUAAAUGCCCACAAGAGAAAGCAGGAAAGAUCUAAAACUGACACCCUAACAUCACAAUUAAAAGAACUAGAGAAGCAAGAGGAAACACAUUCAAAAGCUAGCAGAAGGCAAGAAAUAACUAAAAUCAGAGCAGAACUGAAGGAAAUAGAGACACACAAGAACCCUUCAAAAAAUCAAUGAAUCCGGGGGCUGGUUUUUUGAAAAGAUCAAUAAAAUUGAUAGACCGCUAGCAAGAUUAAUAAAGAAGAAAAGAGAGAAGAAUCAAAUAGAUGCAAUAAAAAAUGACAAAGGGGAUAUCACCACCAAUCCCUCAGAAAUACAAACUACCAUCAGAGAAUACUAUAAACACCUCUACGCAAAUAAACUAGAAAAUCUAGAAGAAAUGGAUAAAUUCCUCGACACACACACUCUUCCAAGACUAAACCAGGAAGAAGUUGAAUCUCUGAAUACACCAAAAACAAGCUCUGAAAUUGAGGCAAUAAUUAAUAGCUUACCAACGAAAAAAAGUCCAGGACCAGAUGGAUUCACAGCCAAAUUCUACCAGAGGUACAAGGAGGAGCUGGUACCAUUCCUUCUGAAACUAUUCCAAUCAAUAGAAAAAGAGGGAAUCCUCCCUAAUUCAUUUUAUGAGGCCAGCAUCAUCCUGAUACCAAAGGCUGGCAGAGACACAACCAAAAAAGAGAAUUUUAGACCAAUAUCCUUGAUGAACAUUGAUGCAAAAAUCCUCAAUAAAAUACUGGCAAACCAAAUCCAGCAACACAUCAAAAAGCUUAUCCACCAUGAUUAAGUGGGCUUCAUCCCUGGGAUGCAAGGCUGGUUCAACAUACGAGAAUCAAUAAACAUAAUCCAGCAUAUAAACAGAACCAAAGACAAAAACCACAUGAUUAUCUCAAUAGAUGCAGAAAAGGCCUUUGACAAAAUUCAGCAACGCUUCAUGCUAAAAACUCUCAAUAAAUUAGGUAUUGAUGGGACCUAUUUCAAAAUAAUAAGAGCUAUCUAUGACAAACCCACAGCCAAUAUCAUACUGAAUGGUCAAAAACUGGAAGCAUUCCCUUUGAAAACUGGCACAACACAGGGAUGCCCUGUCUUACCACUCCUAUUCAACAUAGUGUUGGAAGUUCUGGCCACAGCAAUCAGGCAGGAGAAGGAAAUAAAGGGCAUUCAAUUAGGAAAAGAGGAAGUCAAAUUGUCCCUGUUUGCAGAUGACGUGACUGUAUAUCUAGAAAACCCCAUUGUCUCAGCCCAAAAUCUCCUUAAGCUGAUGAUAAGCAACUUCAGCAAAGUCUCAGGAUACAAAAUCAAUGUGCAAAAAUCACAAGCAUUCCUAUACACCAAUAACUAACAGACAAACAGAGAGCCAAAUCAUGAGUGAACUCUCAUUCACAAUUGCUUCAAAGAGAAUAAAAUACCUAGGAAUCCAACUUACAAGGGACGUGAAGGACCUCUUCAAGGAGAACUACAAACCACUGCUCAAGGAAAUAAAAGAAGAUACAAACAAAUGGAAGAACAUUCCAUGCUCAUGGACAGGAAGAAUCAAUAUCCUGAAAAUGGCCAUACUGCCCAAGGUAAUUUAUAGAUUCAAUGCCAUCCCCAUCAAGCUACCAAUGCCUUUCUUCACACAAUUGGAAAAAAGUACUUUAAAGUUCAUAUGGAACCAAUAAAGAUCCCACAUUACCAAGUCAAUCCUAAGCCAAAAGAACAAAGCUGGAGGCAUCACACUACCUGACUUCAAACUAUACUACAAGGCUACAGUAACAAAAACAGCAUGGUACUGGUACCAAAACAGAGAUAUAGAUCAAAGGAACAGAACAGAGCCCUCAGAAAUAAUGCCACAUAUCUACAACUAUCUGAUCUUUGACAAACCUGAGAAAAACAAAAAAUGGGGAAAGGAUUCCCUAUUUAAUAAAUGGUGCUGGGAAAACUGGCUAGCCAUAUGUAGAAAGCUGAACCUGGAUCCCUUCUUACACCUUAUACAAAAAUUAAUUCAAGAUGGAUUAAAGACUUACAUGUUAGACCUAAAACCAUAAAAACCCUAGAAGAAAACCUAGGCCAUUCAGGACAUAGGCAUGGGCAAGCACUUCAUGUCUAAAACACCAAAAGCAAUGGCAACAAAAGACAAAAUUGACAAAUGGGAUCUAAUUAAAGAGCUUCUGCACAGCAAAAGAAACCACAAUCAGAGUGAACAGGCAACCUACAAAAUGGGAGAAAAUUUUUGCAACCUACUCAUCUGAAAAAGGGCUAAUAUCCAGAAUCUACAAUGAACUCAAAUUUACAAGAAAAAAACAAACAACCCCAUCAAAAAGUGGGUGAAUGAUAUGAACACACACUUCUCAAAAGAAGAAAUUUAUGCAGGCAAAAAACACAUGAAAAAAUGCUCAUCAUCACUGGCCAUCAGAGAAAUGCAAAUCAAAACCACAAUGAGAUACCAUCUCACACCAGUUAGAAUGGCAAUCAUUAAAAAGUCAGGAAACAACAGGUGCUGGAGAGGAUGUGGAAAAAUAGGAACACUUUUACACUGUUGGUGGGACUGUAAACUAGUUCAACCAUUGUGGAAGUUGGUGUGGUGAUUCCUCAGGGAUCUAGAACUAGAAAUACCAUUUGACCCAGCCAUCCCAUUACUGGGUAUAUACCCAAAGGACUAUAAAUCAUGCUGCUAUAAAGACACAUGCACACGUAUGUUUAUUGCGGCAUUAUUCACAAUAGCAAAGACUUGGAACCAACCCAAAUGUCCAACAAUGAUAGACUGGAUUAAGAAAAUGUGGCACACAUACACCAUGGAAUACUAUGCAGCCAUAAAAAUUGAUGAGUUCAUGUCCUCUGUAGGGACAUGGAUGAAGCUGGAAACCAUCAUUCUCAACAAACUAUCGCAAGGACAAAAAACCAAACACUGCAUGUUCUCACUCAUAGGUGGGAAUUGAACGGUGAGAACACAUGGACACAGGACGGGGAACAUCACACUCUGGGGACUGUUGUGGGGUGGGGGGAGGGGGGAGGGAUAGCAUUAGGAGAUA